UGGGGAAUAUUGCACAAUGGACGGAAGUCUGAUGCAGCAACGCCGCGUGCGGGAUGACGGCCUUCGGGUUGUAAACCGCUUUUUCUCAUGACGAAGUUUUUUGACGGUAGUGGGGGAAGAAGCACCGGCUAACUACGUUCCAGCAGCCGCGGUGAUACGUAGGGUGCGAGCGUUGUCCGGACUUAUUGGGCGUAAAGAGCUUGUAGGCGGUUUGUCGCGUCGAUAGUGCAAACUCAGUGCUUAACGCUGAGCCUGCUGUUGAUACGGGCAGACUAGAGGAAGGUAGGGGAGAAUGGAAUUCCCGGUGGAGCGGUGGAAUGCGCAGAUAUCGGGAGGAACACCGGUGGCGAAGGCGGUUCUCUGGGCCUUUCCUGACGCUGAGAAGCGAAAGCGUGGGGAGCGAACAGG
rnacentral:rRNA from 1 species